rnacentral:lncRNA from 1 species
CACUUUAAUCAUCUUUUUUGGCCAUUGGUUGUCAACACAGAGCUCCACUUUUUCAGCCUCUUGAGAUCAACCAGUCCAAAGCACCUCCAAUUAUCCACCAACCAAAAAAGUACACAACGGGCAUAAAGGGGCCGUAGUCCACUUAGUGCAGGGACAGGAACCAGCAAUACACAACCAUUCAAAAAAAUCAGCAUUCCAAGAAGAAGUCGUAGAAAC